rnacentral:rRNA from 1 species
UUGCACGCUGGCGGCAGGCCUAACCCCUGCAAGUCGCACGGUAACAGAAAGCAGCUUGCUGCUUUGCUGACGAGUGGCGGACGGGUGAGUAAUGUCUGGGAAACUGCCUGAUGGAGGGGGAUAACUACUGGAAACGGUAGCUAAUACCGCAUAACGUCGCAAGACCAAAGAGGGGGACCUUCGGGCCUCUUGCCAUCGGAUGUGCCCAGAUGGGAUUAGCUAGUAGGUGGGGUAACGGCUCACCUAGGCGACGAUCCCUAGCUGGUCUGAGAGGAUGACCAGCCACACUGGAACUGAGACACGGUCCAGACUCCUACGGGAGGCAGCAGUGGGGAAUAUUGCACAAUGGGCGCAAGCCUGAUGCAGCCAUGCCGCGUGUAUGAAGAAGGCCUUCGGGUUGUAAAGUACUUUCAGCGGGGAGGAAGGGAGUAAAGUUAAUACCUUUGCUCAUUGACGUUACCCGCAGAAGAAGCACCGGCUAACUCCGUG